rnacentral:rRNA from 1 species
GACAGAGGGUGCAAACGUUGUUCGGAAUUACUGGGCGUAAAGCGUGUGUAGGCGGUGAGGUAAGUCGGAUGUGAAAGCCCAGGGCUCAACCCUGGAAGUGCACUCGAUACUGCUUCGCUUGAGUACUGGAGAGGUUGGUGGAAUUCUCGGUGUAGGGGUGAAAUUCGUAGAUAUCGAGAGGAACAUCUGUGGCGAAGGCGGCCAACUGGACAGAUACUGACGCUGAGACACGAAAGUGUGGGGAGCAAACAGG